CAGCAGCCGCCGCGGUAAUACGGAGGGUGCAAGCGUUAAUCGGAAUUACUGGGCGUAAAGCGCACGCAGGCGGUCUGACAAGUCAGAUGUGAAAUCCCCGGGCUUAACCUGGGAACUGCAUUUGAAACUGUCAGGCUGGAGUCUUGUAGAGGGGGGUAGAAUUCCAGGUGUAGCGGUGAAAUGCGUAGAGAUCUGGAGGAAUACCGGUGGCGAAGGCGGCCCCCUGGACAAAGACUGACGCUCAGGUGCGAAAGCGUGGGGAGCAAACAGGAUUAGAUACCCCUGUAGUCCCUGUCUCUUAUAC
rnacentral:rRNA from 1 species